AGGACGACGCUGGCGGCGUGCCUAACACAUGCAAGUCGAGCGGAGUCGGUAAGAGGAAGUUUCGGAUGGAAUCUUAUUGAUUUAGCGGCGGACGGGUGAGUAACGCGUGAGCGACCAACCUUGCACAGGGGGAUAACGGACCGAAAGGUUCACUAAUACCGUAUGAGACCACGGUGUUGCAUGACACAGAGGUCAAAGGAGCAAUCCGGUGCAAGACGGGCUCGCGUCCGAUUAGGUAGUUGGAGGGGUAACCGGCCCACCAAGCCUAUGAUCGGUAGCCGACCUGAGAGGGUGAUCGGCCACAUUGGAACUGAGAUACGGUCCAAACUCCUACGGGAGGCAGCAGUGGGGAAUAUUGGGCAAUGGGGGAAAAACCCCCUGACCCAGCAACGCCGCGUGAAGGAAGAAGGUUUUCGGAUUGUAAACUUCUGUCCUUGGUGAAGAGAAGAAGACGGUAGCCAAGGAGGAAGCCCCGGCUAACUACGUGCCAGCAGCGGC
rnacentral:rRNA from 1 species